rnacentral:rRNA from 1 species
CUAACCUGGUUGAUCCUGCCAGUAGUCAUAUGCUUGUUUCAAGGACUAAGCCAUGCAUGCCUCAGAAUAACUGCAUUGCAGGACUCUGCGCAUGGCUCAUUACAUCAGACUUAAUCUGCCGCAAUAACGUUGCGGUCUCCGCAAGACUGGAUAUCUUGGCGAAACGUCAAGCUAAUACAUGAACUAACGGGUCU